rnacentral:hammerhead_ribozyme from 1 species
GCACCGCUGAAGAGUCCCGUACUCGGACGAAACGGUCGUUCGGUGC